CAUGCCCCCCUCCCUAUGGCUUG
rnacentral:miRNA from 1 species